UGAAGGCUUUCCGUGUAACAUUUGUUUCCCCCAACAGCUGAAGCUGCAUGCUCGUUCUUUCUGUGGAUGAAGCCUGAUUUCUGGAAGCUUCUGGAGGCAGGGACCUUCCAGUCCUGGAGAGUUCACUGGCUGCCAAAAGGAACAUGCACCACUCCCCACCUGGAACCCCUCGAAGCCUCUCCCCACUCAGCUGCUCUUCAAGCUCAGUUCCAACUGCUCUGCUUCCAGACUCGUCCCAGCCACUGUGCAAGCCACUCCUGUGCUCCCUUCAUGCUCACGUCUGACCCUCUUUCAGCAUGUCUUUGCAUCACUUGGAAUAGAAGCUCACUUGGGACAGGUUGCAGCUCCACUUUGCUCCGGGUUAUACACACCCCAGGCAUCUGUGGCUCUAAUUCUCUUUGCAUCAGUUACCCUUUCGUAGGUGUGCUCUGUUUUACCCGGUGGAUUGUAAACCCCCUGAUGGUGAGAACAGUGGAUGAAUUUCUCUUACAAUCCCAGCCCAGACUUGCUGAUGUGCCUUGUUGGGAAAGGGGCUAGUUUUGUAUCUGGUCCCCUGAGGUGGAAACACCUGUGGGCAAGGGGGCAAGAAAUGGCACAAUCUUAGCUCAUUUGUGUCACCUUCCACCAUGUGACCCUAAUCUCUUCCUCUGUGAAAUGGGACCAGUAACACCUACUCGGUGGAGUGUGGGGAAUCUGGAUCCAAUGACUAUACAGAGUGAGAAAGACUUGGUCAGGACGUACACAAGCAGGGCAUGUCAGUACACACCUUCCUCCGUCUCCCAGGAGCUGCCAGGCCAUUUAAAGUCUAUUUUGUUGGCUGGGACCCAAAAGAAAAUAGCUCACCUUCCACCACUGGCCUCUGGUUUCUGGCCACACACCAUGCUGUGGGUAGGUACGGGGGUAUUACCUUGUGGAUGAGAGGGUGAUCUGGCUUUGACAUCUGUCACCCCACUGAUCGCCAGGGUUGCUUGGCUGCUCUGGCUGGCUGGGCAGGUGUCCCCUCCCUCCCUCACCACUCCACAUGGUGCUGAAGCUGCUAGCUGGGUCCAAGAGGAAGAUUUUCUUCAGUCAAGGGUAUAUGAGUAGCUGUAGUCCCCUGCUAGAACCUCCAAACAAGCUUUAAAGAUCUGUUUGUAGGAGAACAUGGGGUAGUCAAUCUUCCAAGAUUCUAGACACAUCCAGAUGAAGUGCCACAUGCAUGUGACAGUCUGAUUCUCUUAAAAAGAAAAAAAAAAGAAAGAAAGAAAGAAAGAGAGAGAGAGACACGAUGGGUCCUCCCAGAAUCUCCCCUGGGGCUGAUGUGAGGCAAGGAGAGCGGGGUGCCGAAGCCUUUAUCCACAGGAAAAAGACACCCCAGAUACUCAGCUGUUUGAAUAAUUUCCCAUUCAGGGCUAGAGGUGGAGGCAGGCCUCUCCACUCAGGCAGGGCUCUAACUUCACGAUGGAGGGAGAAUCCAUCAAAGCCACCUAAGUACCCAUUAGUACCCUUUUUGUUGUCAAACUCCUAUUUAUGGGAGAAAGUUGCCUUCAUCCAUACA
rnacentral:lncRNA from 12 species